rnacentral:rRNA from 1 species
ACUACGGGUGGCAGCAGUGAGGAAUAUUGGUCAAUGGGCUUACGCCUGAACCAGCCAAGUCGCGUGAGGGAAGACUGCCCUAUGGGUUGUAAACCUCUUUUGUCAGGGAGCAACGCCGGCUACGUGUAGCCGGACUGAGAGUACCUGAAGAAAAAGCAUCGGCUAACUCCGUGCCAGCAGCCGAGGUAAUACUGAGGAUGGUAGCGGUAUCCGGAUUUAUUGGGUUGAAAGGGUGCGUAGGCGGAAUGCCAAGUCAGCGGUAAAAUCGCUGGGCUCAACCUCGCUCCGCCGUUGAAACUGGCGUUCUUGAGUGGGCGAGAAGUAUGCGGAAUGCGUGGUGUAGCGGUGAAAUGCAUAGAUAUCACGCAGAACUCCGAUUGUGAAGGCAGCAUACCGGCGCCCAACUGACGUUGAGGCUCGAAAGCGUGGGGAGCAAACAGGAUUAGAUACCCGAGUAGUC